AUGAUGCGGGCCUACAGUAAGCAUCUGAAGCUAAGGGAUGCCAAGCACGAGGUGAUCUUCCCGGGCGUGUGCCUAAAGAUCCCGGGCCGGUUCUACUACCGGUUUGGGAAGCCGAUCCUGAUGCGGGAGAGGCAGGACGUCCUCACCGACCGGCACGCGGCGACGGACCUCUACACGCACAUCAAGUCGGAGGUGCAAGGCAUCAUCUCCUACCUGCUGGAUAAGCGGGAGGAGGACGAGUACAGGAAGAUCUCGCGGAGGCUCAUGUUCAUGGCUUCCCAGGGGUUCGACACCCAAGUUCCGUCGUUCGAUCCUUGA
rnacentral:rRNA from 1 species